UAAAAACAUAUAUAAUAUCAUGAAAAUUUAUUAUUAUCACCAUUUCUCUUUGGAGUUAGAUAGUCAUGAGAAAACAAUUUUCCAAUGCGGCAUAGUUUUAAGUUUAGAGUUGUUUCGUAAUAGCAGCAUUUUAAGUUAUGGAUGGUGGUCUUAAGAGCAUACAAAAUCACAUUAUACUAUAAAAAAUAAAAUAAUUAAAAUAAUUAACCAAAAAAAGAAAGAGAAAAGGUAAAAAAAAUAAUGGGUACCAAAUGAAUAAAAAGUCUCAAACAACCCAAAAAAAUUUAGUAAAGAGUUGAAUGUGGAAAAAAGAAAAAUACUUGAAGAAGAUGAAUG
rnacentral:lncRNA from 1 species